UGGGGAAUUUUGCGCAAUGGGGGAAACCCUGACGCAGCAACGCCGCGUGGAGGAUGAAGUCCCUUGGGACGUAAACUCCUUUCGAUCGGGACGAUAAUGACGGUACCGGAAGAAGAAGCCCCGGCUAACUUCGUGCCAGCAGCCGCGGUAAUACGAGGGGGGCAAGCGUUGUUCGGAAUUAUUGGGCGUAAAGGGUGCGUAGGUGGUUCGGCAAGUCUUGUGUGAAAUCUUCAGGCUCAACUUGAAGUCUGCACAAGAAACUGCCGGGCUUGAGUAUGGGAGAGGUGAGUGGAAUUUCCGGUGUAGCGGUGAAAUGCGUAGAUAUCGGAAGGAACACCUGUGGCGAAAGCGGCUCACUGGACCAUUACUGACACUGAGGCACGAAAGCUAGGGGAGCAAACAGG
rnacentral:rRNA from 1 species